UAGGGUAGUGGUAUGAGGUUUAAAACUAUUUAAGGAUGAGGAGGAGAAAGAGUCUUCAGGAAACUCUUGUUUCACUGGACUCUGCAGUCUGCAGAACUGGGGCAAGGGUAGGAGUUCCAGUAGGGGAAGGAGCAGGUAGACUCUGCAGCUGCCUCAGGUGGGACUCAAGACCUAGACUGAUUCUCUUUCCUCUCCACUCCUAAGAAGCAAUUUUCUGUUCCUCUCCUCCCACCACUUUUUACUUUCUGUUUCCUCCCGUCUCCCGCUUCCCUUCCAUUUCCUUUCUAGAAAACCCUGGUAUUCAACUCAGGCCAAACUGCCUCAGCAGAAAGGUGGCCUUGCACAAAACUGGUCCAAGAAUUUGAAGUGGCAGUGUUUGCACAUUGGCUCUGUCCAGCAAGGCCUCCGCUGCUUGUUGUCUCUGCUUUCCCUCCCCUCACACAGAGGUGCCCUGGCUUAUUCAGGGGACUCCUUAGUCCACACUGUGUCACCUGCAUGCCUUAAUCUUUCAUUGCUGGGGUGUGGCCUUGGGAGAUCCUGGGCCAGCCCCUCCACACAUCUCCCUAAGUCAGAGUGGCUGCUGGCCCUGGUAGAUUUGACUUGCUUUUGCCUCACUCGACCUUCAGAGUGGGACUGAAGACAGUGGCCGAGAGACUUGAGUUUGGGACAGUGAGCCAGGGGUUAAGGUUCUUUCCUUUUUUUGAAAGCCAAAGACCCAGUUUGAAUUGUGCUGCUGCAUUCAUGGUUAGAAGCUUUCCAUGCCUAUAUUCUAGGGAAUUUACUUUUCUAUGUGUGUAUAUUUUUAAACUUUGUUUCCUGGGUACUGGGCAUGUGCCUGUCUGAGCCCCAGGUCUGUCUACACCCCACCAUUCCUUCUGUCUGUCCGUCCCCUGGACACUGCCUAAAAGGGUCUCAAGCCAGUGCCCUAUGGGUUCCUAGGACUAGGGCCCAUUACUGUUCUCUUCUGCUGGGAAAUGCAGCUUUAAAAUGGCUAACGAGGGCAGAGGGCAGGUGCUUGAUAGUUUAUCUUUUCCUUGCUUUCUUGUUUCUGUUUUGAAUAUGAAAUGGGGUUUUAAAUGGUUAUUAAACUCUUUUUCCAAAUAAAGGUUUAUCUUUUUUCCCCCAUUGUUGGUCAUUUUAUUAGGAUCCUGAAGGGAUUAGGUCCUUGAGAGAGGGCCUGAAGAAUGAGGUGGGCAGAGGAAGAGACUGAGGAGCUUUUGAUUUUGGGGUGGGGUCUCAAGACAUAAAUCUAGAUUGAGAAAUGUGUUGUAAGGUUUCCCUCUAUUAGCUGAGGUAGAUUCCCACUGCUCUGAGGCCUGGGAGGAACAGGGCCUGAGUGAAGCCUCCUGCCUUGACACUGUUGGGGUAUAGCUUUCUUCUGUCCUUGCCAAGUGAGAGAAUGACUCUUUGGACUGCUUUUCAUUCUUCCUCCAUCUGCUCCCCCCAUGCCUCCCUCUAGUAUCUACUGCGCUUCAGGAGGGUCUGUGCAAAGUGGGAUAAGAUGUGUGUUUUCCUGGUGAAAGCUAUGGCAGCUGCAUGAGACAUGAUGCGGGUGGCACAUGCCUCUUGCUGAGCAUCUAUUUCUGAUCUCUUUUGCAUUCUGGAGCCAGGGCUGAGCAGUGGGCCAUCUGUCGCUGGAAAAAUGUCUCUUCCUUCCUAGGCCUAACUCUGCUGGUGCUUUUGUCCUCCAGCCUCCCUAUGCAGUAAGACCAGCCAAGCCCACAUGUCCACUGGGAGCCCUGAAACCAGGUCUGGUUUUCUGUCUUACCUGAACAGGUUCCCAGAACCCACACCAGGUCUCUGAAUCAGUCUCUGAGAAUCUGAUUGAUUUAAAACCACUUGGUUGCUUCCAUUGCACUACUUGGGUUGCAAUCCACUCACUGAUUUAGUAAAAAGAAAAUUUAGCAGCCCGGCGCGGUGGCUCACGCCCGUAAUCCCAGCACUUUGGGAGGCUGAGGUGGGCAGAUCACCUGAGGUCGGGAGUUCCAGACCAGCCUGACCGACAUGAAGAAACCCCGUCUCUACUAAAAACACAAAAUUAGCCAGGCAUGCUGGUGCAUGCCUGUAAUCCCAGCUACUUGGAAGCUGAGGCAGGAGAAUCACUUGAACCUGGGAGGUGGAGGUUGUGGUGAGCCAAGAUCGCGCCAUUGCACUCCAGCCUGGGCAAAAAGAGCGAAACUCCAUCUCAAAAAAACAAAGGAAAAAAAAGAAAACUCAGCUAGGGAUUAGGAACAUCAUUUGUCCUCUUGGCCUGUUCGGUUGGUGACUAUAGUCCCAGAUGUCUAUGGAUUCCAGCAGGUCACCUCUCCUUUUUCUACUGCCAUGCCUCCUUCUCCCCCGGUGACGACCACACCACUGAAAAUAAGGAGGUCUUGUGGUGUGAAGCUACACUUCUAGCCACGAUUUUGUGGGGACUGGCUGGGAUGAAAAAUGUGAUGAAAAAGGGAAACUUGGGACUCUGGAGCACCAAGAUGGAGCGAGACGGUCAAUACUGAUGGACUUGCAGCUAGCACCAUGGCAGCCCUGCCUGGUCUGGGGAAGCUGGCAGGAGGCGAUGGUACCUGGGGAGGGGGCAGACUGCCCACCUCCCACUCCUUCAGAAGACUGUUUCCUGCCCUUCGCACCGUCAUCACGUUGGGCCCGGCACUCAUGUCCCUGCACUUGGAGUGAGCCCAGGGACACAGGGCAGACACUGGGCCUGCAGAUGCUGCUGCAGCUGAGCCAGAAAACAUUCCAGGCAGGAAAAGCAGGUGCACACAUUCACACAGGCCUCUGGGCACUCCACCAGCCAGAAUGAGACCGACUCCUUGACCCGGGAAGUCAAGUCCCAGCGGGAAGGGCUGGAAAUCACACGUGGUCAACUUCUCAGCUCUCUCUGCUCCCCAAACCCUGGCCCUAGGCUUGCUUUGUCAUCACAUCCCAAGGCCAGAGGGCUGCUGCUGUCCCCAACUUGGCCCUGCCAGAAGAGGGAUAGGGGUGGCUGGCAUGAUGGGCGAGGGGACCAUGAGAAUGUGCGGAGGCCUUGGAGGGAGAGGACUGGCAGUUACGACAGGAAGGUUCUCUAUACCUGGCUCCCCAGUGUUCUGCCCCUGGCACUCAGCACAAGGAGCCAGGUUUUGGGGAGACUUUGCAAUCACCACCCCCAAUCCUGGUCCAUUUUCCCCAGGUAGCUUUCUCGGAAUUCACCUUGACCCCUCCUCAGCCAGCAGCCCCCACCUCCAGGGGCAAAGGAGCUGGAAGGCAGUCCUGAACUGGUGGGAGCUGGGGUCCCAUCAGCCAGGCCACGUCCCUCACAGGAAGUGAGAUGAGGUGAUACCAUGGAUGGUGACUAAGGCCCCAAAGUCCCUGCCUCUCUGCCUCCCCAGAAACCUCACAGCCAGGCCAGCCCCCAGAGCAGAGCCUGUGUAAACACGCGCAGGAGGGGAGGAGGGGUUGCUACAUAUGAGAAACAGUUAAAAAUAAAUUUAAAAAGCACCACUA